rnacentral:rRNA from 1 species
AUUGAACGCUGGCGGCAGGCUUAACACAUGCAAGUCGAGCGAGCGGCGGACGGGUGAGUAAUGUCUGGGAAACUGCCUGAUGGAGGGGGCUAACUACUGGAAACGGUAGCUAAUACCGCAUACCAUCAGAUGUGUCCAGAUGGGAUUAGCUAGUAGGUGGGGUAAUGGCUCACCUAGGCGACGAUCCCUAGCUGGUCUGAGAGGAUGACCAGCCACACUGGAACUGAGACACGGUCCAGACUCCUACGGGAGGCAGCAGUGGGGAAUAGUGCACAAUGGGCGCAAGCCUGAUGGAGCCAUGCCGCGUGUGUGAAGAAGGCCUUCGGGUUGUAAAACACUGUCAGCGAGGAAGCGGUAGUCAAAGAAGAAGCAACGGCUAACUCCGUGCCAGCCGCCGCGGUAAUAC